AACGAACGCUGGCGGCAUGCCUAACACAUGCAAGUCGAACGAGACCUUCGGGUCUAGUGGCGCACGGGUGCGUAACGCGUGGGAACCUGCCCUUAGGUUCGGAAUAACUCCCCGAAAGGGGUGCUAAUACCGGAUAAUGUCUUCGGACCAAAGAUUUAUCGCCUUUGGAUGGGCCCGCGUUGGAUUAGCUAGUUGGUAGGGUAAAAGCCUACCAAGGCGACGAUCCAUAGCUGGUCUGAGAGGAUGAUCAGACACACUGGGACUGAGACACGGCCCAGACUCCUACGGGAGGCAGCAGCGGGGAAUAUUGGACAAUGGGCGAAAGCCUGAUCCAGCAAUGCCGCGUGAGUGAUGAAGGCCUUAGGGUUGUAAAGCUCUUUUACCCGGGAUGAUAAUGACAGUACCGGGAGAAUAAGCUCCGGCUAACUCCGUG
rnacentral:rRNA from 1 species